rnacentral:rRNA from 1 species
ACGCUCGACACCUACGGAGGCAGCAGUGGGGAAUAUUGCACAAUGGGGGAAACCCUGAUGCAGCGACGCCGCGUGAAGGAAGAAGUAUUUCGGUAUGUAAACUUCUAUCAGCAGGGAAGAAAAUGACGGUACCUGACUAAGAAGCCCCGGCUAACUACGUGCCAGCACGCCGACGGUAAUCUGAGGCGGGCUGGCAAGGC